rnacentral:tRNA from 1 species
GCCGACGUGGCGGAAUGGUAGACGCAGCAGACUUAAAAUCUGCUUUCAGGUAACUGGAGUGCGGGUUCGAGUCCCGCCGUCGGUA